rnacentral:rRNA from 1 species
GAUGAACGCUGGCGGCGUGCCUAAUACAUGCAAGUCGAACGCAUAGCGAAAGGUGCUUGCACCUUUCAAGUGAGUGGCGAACGGGUGAGUAACACGUGGACAACCUGCCUCAAGGCUGGGGAUAACAUUUGGAAACAGAUGCUAAUACCGAAUAAAACUUAGUGUCGCAUGACACAAAGUUAAAAGGCGCUUCGGCGUCACCUAGAGAUGGAUCCGCGGUGCAUUAGUUAGUUGGUGGGGUAAAGGCCUACCAAGACAAUGAUGCAUAGCCGAGUUGAGAGACUGAUCGGCCACAGUGGGACUGAGACACGGCCCAAACUCCUACGGGAGGCUGCAGUAGGGAAUCUUCCACAAUGGGCGAAAGCCUGAUGGAGCAACGCCGCGUGUGUGAUGAAGGCUUUCGGGUCGUAAAGCACUGUUGUAUGGGAAGAACAGCUAGAAUAGGAAAUGAUUGUAGUUUGACGGUACCAUACCAGAAAGGGACGGCUAAAUACGUG